rnacentral:rRNA from 1 species
UACGUAGGGGGCAAGCGUUGUCCGGAUUUAUUGGGCGUAAAGAGCGUGUAGGCGGCCUGACAAGUCUGCUGUGAAAACUCGAGGCUCAACCUCGAGAUGUCGGCGGAAACUGUCUGGCUAGAGUCCGGAAGAGGAGAGUAGAAUUCCUGGUGUAGCGGUGAAAUGCGCAGAUAUCAGGAAGAACACCUAUGGCGAAGGCAGCUCUCUGGGACGGUACUGACGCUGAGACGCGAAAGCGUGGGGAGCGAACAGG